rnacentral:rRNA from 1 species
GCUUAACGCGAAGAACCUUACCAGGCCUUGACAUGCAGAGAACUUUCCAGAGAUGGAUUGGUGCCUUCGGGAACUCUGACACAGGUGCUGCAUGGCUGUCGUCAGCUCGUGUCGUGAGAUGUUGGGUUAAGUCCCGUAACGAGCGCAACCCUUGUCCUUAGUUACCAGCACGUUAUGGUGGGCACUCUAAGGAGACUGCCGGUGACAAACCGGAGGAAGGUGGGGAUGACAUCAAGUUAUCAUGGCCCUUACGGCCUGGGCUACACACGUGCUACAAUGGUCGGUACAGAGGGUUGCCAAGCCGCGAGGUGGAGCUAAUCUCACAAAACCGAUCGUAGUCCGGAUCGCAGUCUGCAAC